CAGCCACAUAGCCGAUCUGUCAUCAGAGUGAGUGUGUGUCGGUGUCGGAGUCUCCGUUUUGGUUUUCACUACUCAUUCUGCCUUUUGCCCCACCAAAGAAUCUAUCGUCCUCUUUUUCGUAUAACCAAAUAUGGUAACCCUAGAAAAAGGGAUGUGGAAGGAUGAACAGCAACAUUAGGGUAAAACAGGGAACGUAGAGUAAGCACAACUACCAAACGGAAAACGUAUAUAUUUCAACUAGUAGUAUUUAAAGUACGCAAAAUUACUGUAUUAAGCGACAUCUCAACAUAUACAAGUGUACUUCUGUAUAAAAACAAAAUCUUAGCUAUUCGCAAACCUCAAAACAACAACGUUGAUAAAGCUUUGGAGAAGUAAACAGGAUUUCUGUACAAUUUUAUAAUACAAAUAAAUAACAUCAAAAACACUGACUUGAUGUUACUGUUGAUCAGUAUCACGAUCAGCGGAUAUGCUUUUUUGAAUUAGGCGUGUUGAUGGUGGAAUAGUGACGAUUAACUUUCUGGUUGGCUAAAUGAAAAUACAGUCGUGACAGCAAGGUUUCUCUUUGGAUAUAGCGCAAGUGGGCGGGGCUACAACGGAUGCAGAAAACUUAUCUCGAGCCAUUGGAAGCCAGGAUUGCUUAUCUAAGCAUCAUCAUCGUGCGAUUUGACAGAUCGUGAACUCCGAACUUUGCUCUGAUGUCACAUCAGCAGGAAAGAAUGCUACAAUGCUGCUAGAAUCUCCAAAAGGAUUCAACACUUGAACAUCUUGAACACAUGCAGUAACUGUCCUUUUACUGUAUUAUAAUCACUCAUUGAACUGCCUGAUGCAUGGUCUUGUUUUUUGGUGUUGUAUUACCUCUCAGCUUGCCUUGCAGCAUUUAAAACACCCUGUAGGUGUUUCAUGACAUCUUUUCUGCCUCCUUUUGAUUUCACCAUUCAGUGUAACAGUCCGGUGGUAUGCUACAUAUGAUAGCUCAUAUACUCAUGCUUGAAAUAUUGGUUUUAUCAGAUUACUAAAGGUAACAAUGCAUGCUUGACUACAAAUGUUGUACUUACCUCUGGCUCUCGCAUUUUUUUUACUUUCAGCUUAGCAAUGUAACACUACCUGAGGACAAGAGUGUAUUUUUUUUUCUUUCUUUUAGGGUACAUUGAUGUUUUUUGAUGAGUCCAUCAAUCUUUAACCACCACAGAUUAUAAUAUUUCUGUGUAAAUUCUUUCUUAGAAACUAAUGACAUUUUUAUUUCAAACAUUGUUUUACCCACUGCUGAAUGGUCUUAUUUGUAGUAUUUUAGAAGCAAUCAGAGCUUUGAAUCCUGUUGCAGCAGUUGUUUAGUAGUGCUGUUUGCUCCUAGCAUAUCAUCUCAGCAGAUUAUAAUAUUUCUGUGUAAAUUCUUUCUUAGAAACUAAUGACAUUUUUAUUUCAAACAUUGUUUUACCCACUGCUGAAUGGUCUUAUUUGUAGUAUUUUAGAAGCAAUCAGAGCUUUGAAUCCUGUUGCAGCAGUUGUUUAGUAGUGCUGUUUGCUCCUAGCAUAUCAUCUCAGCAGAACUCAAUCACAGAUUUAUGUAUAUCACAGCAGUACCAUCCACUGGCUUGCUGAAUGCAUAUUGUGUGCAGUAUCAUAAAAUGAUCUGUGCUUCCGUAGCUCACAGUACCUGCUAUUAGUUUGUAUGGUGUUGUACUUACUCUGUGGUCCACUGCCUAACUAUAUUUGCUGGCUUGUUAAAUGAGUGCUUAAUUGUACUUGUUGCAAGGUUUGUAAAAGGUAUCCAUACUUGAGGAUUGUUUAUGCUAUGUUUAUUCAAGUCCGUCUUUUCUCCUAUAGUGUUUACCUUCUCUUCCAUUUUUUUCUCUUUACUCUUUUACCCCAUUCCUUUCUUUCUUCUGUCUCUUUAUGCUACCAAUUUAUCAUAUACCUUUGGUACUUUCUCACAUUUAACCCCCUUCGUUAUUCCCUUUUCCUAGGAUUUACACCAGCUUAUGCACAGUGCAGACUGCUGCUCUACCCAGCCUGAUAUCAAAAUUGUUGCUUAUUUAUUAAUAAGUGUUUUUAUAACAUCUUCAGGCUACAGCUGUAUUUGCUAUUAACUUCAAUUUAUUCUCGUUACUUUGGUAAUAUGCUACUUUUGGUAUCUUUAUUGACCUACCUUACACCUGAUUAAUAGUCACAUAUAUGAACUUGAUUUAAGAAGCUAUUAAAUGCUUUGUAUAUAACGGGAAAGGGUAGUCAAAAGAUAUUAUAUGUAUGUUGGUUUGUUUUAUGCCUAUUGAUUUACCUCACCCAUUCAUAUAGAUAUUUAU